GAUGAACGCUGGCGGCGUGCCUAAUACAUGCAAGUCGAGCGAACAGACGAGGAGCUUGCUCCUCUGACGUUAGCGGCGGACGGGUGAGUAACACGUGGAUAACCUACCUAUAAGACUGGGAUAACUUCGGGAAACCGGAGCUAAUACCGGAUAAUAUAUUGAACCGCAUGGUUCAAUAGUGAAAGACGGUUUUGCUGUCACUUAUAGAUGGAUCCGCGCCGCAUUAGCUAGUUGGUAAGGUAACGGCUUACCAAGGCAACGAUGCGUAGCCGACCUGAGAGGGUGAUCGGCCACCCUGGAACGGAGACACGGUCCAGACUCCUACGGGAGGCAGCAGUAGGGAAUCUUCCGCAAUGGGCGAAAGCUUGACGGAGCAACGCCGCGUGAGUGAGGAAGGUCUUCGGAUCGUAAACCUCUGUUAUUAGGAAAGAACAAAUGUGUAAGUAACUAUGCACGUCUUGACGGUACCUAAUCAGAAAGCCACGGCUAACUACGUG
rnacentral:rRNA from 1 species